AUUGAACGCUGGCGGCAUGCCUUACACAUGCAAGUCGAACGGUAACAGGUCUUCGGAUGCUGACGAGUGGCGAACGGGUGAGUAAUACAUCGGAACGUGCCUAGUAGUGGGGGAUAACUACUCGGAAGAGUGGCUAAUACCGCAUGAGAUCUACGGAUGAAAGCAGGGGAUCGCAAGACCUUGUGCUACUAGAGCGGCCGAUGGCAGAUUAGGUAGUUGGUGGGAUAAAAGCUUACCAAGCCGACGAUCUGUAGCUGGUCUGAGAGGACGAUCAGCCACACUGGGACGGAGGCACGGCCCAGACUCCUACGGGAGGCAGCAGUGGGGAAUUUUGGACAAUGGGCGAAAGCCUGAUCCAGCAAUGCCGCGUGCAGGAUGAAGGCCUUCGGGUUGUAAACUGCUUUUGUACGGAACGAAAAGCCCUGGGUUAAUACCCUGGGGUCAUGACGGUACCGUAAGAAUAAGCACCGGCUAACUACGUGCCAGCCGCCGCAGUAAGAC
rnacentral:rRNA from 1 species